AUUGAGAUAUUGCUUUGAACAGGUACAAUAGUCGCUUGGUCAGACGUUAGGCGUUCAGUAGUCAACUGUUUAGUAACAUUUACUGUGGUAUUGAAUGUAGUUGGCUUUUGAACAGGUACAGUAGUCAGUGGGUCAGAGGUUAGGAGUCUGGUAGACAGCUGUCCAGUAGAAACACGCACUGUGGUAUUGGAUGUAGUUGGUUUUUUAACAGGUACAGUAGUCAGAGGGUCAGAGGUUAGGAGUCUGGUAGACAGCUGUCCAGUA